AAGUCGAGCGGUAACAGGGGAAGCUUGCUUCUCGCUGACGAGCGGCGGACGGGUGAGUAAUGUAUGGGGAUCUGCCCGAUAGAGGGGGAUAACUACUGGAAACGGUAGCUAAUACCGCAUAAUCUCUUAGGAGCAAAGCAGGGGAACUUCGGUCCUUGCGCUAUCGGAUGAACCCAUAUGGGAUUAGCUAGUUGGUGAGGUAAUGGCUCACCAAGGCGACGAUCUCUAGCUGGUCUGAGAGGAUGAUCAGCCACA
rnacentral:rRNA from 1 species